CAAGUCAUUGGAUCAUAUGUAACCUUUUUCUUCUGAUAAAAACAAAAGCAAGCAAAGUUUACUACUAUAAUUGCACCCUCUGAUGGCAAAAUCUAUAUCACAAAGAUAUCACCAGACAGAGAAUUUUAAGUCUGAGGAAAAGAAGAUUAUUUCUUUAGGCAUUUAGUGUCUCUUAGCACUCAUUUCUUGCCAGCAAUAAGCAUUAUUCAACACCAUCCUGAUCAUGUCAGGCAUCAAUGUCAUUUAUACUGAAAACUCGACCUUGCAUCAAAUUUUGAAAGGGAAAGCACAUUCCAGAAACUAUAUUUUAUAUAAUUCCAGCAUAAGACAUUCUAAGUAACCUUAGAUCAGGUCAUCUACAGCUCCUAGUUAAGCGCUGCCAUAGAACCCACGAACCCUGUAAGGUCCUAUGAAGUUUACAGAUUACAGAAAACUGGAAAGCAAAAGAGCAUCAGCUUGUGACACAAUUUGCGUCAAACAUGGGGAGGGCAUCAAUAGCAUUCCUGAAAUUCUAUUUUAAUAAUCCCAGCAAAAGACAUGCUAAGUAACUUUGAAUCAGGUCAUUUGCAGCUCCUGGUUAAACGCUGCUGUAUCUCCCAGGGAUGUAAAAGGUCCUCUGAGGUUUACACUUCACAUACUAAAGAAAACUGACCAGAGCAUCAACUUAUGAGACAACAGACCCUAGAAUAACUGGCACUAUUACAUGGUCAAAGUAGUAACAGAUAGAUCACUUCAUAGCUUCAUUAUCCUGGACUCAUUGACAUAGAACUUUCUAUAGACUUGGAUUAUAGCACCCACAAAAAAAGAAAAAAAAAACAUUCUUCACUUUUAUAGAAUAUUAAGAUUAUCGACUCUAGCAAUUUGUCCUUUCUUGUACAAGGACACUGUUAGUAUCAAGUGCUCUUCUAUCACUCAUGGCAUCACAUGCUUUUCCUCCCAAAUUUCUAAAUUAAAGAGCCGGAAAACCCUAAGUACCUCUUUCAGUAAUUUGAUUGAAGAAAAGAAAUUAUAGAUGUCCAUAAUUGAAGCCUAAAAAACAUGAGACAGGAAACCGAUAAGUCUACGAGAAGGAAAAAAGAAAGAUGAUUCUUCAGACGCAUAUAGGUAAAAAGAAUAGAAUAGAAGAACUUGAAACCUGGAACAGAGCUUUUGUCAAUAGAGGGUUUUGGAUUAGGAUAUGCCUCGCUUGCUGCCCGGUUCUGUUCUAUUAAUGUCUGCAAAUGAAACAGAAGCAGAUAGCAUCGAAUUAUCAGGAGUUGUUUAGAUCACAGCGGACGUCUGAAGGAAAAUAAAAAAGAAAGGUAGGAGAGCGAGAAAGAGAAAGAGAGAAUGCCUUCAUCUGAGACAUAAUAUCAUAGAGCUGGUUCUUGGACAUCCCGGCGAGGCUCGUCGAUGCGGCGUCGCCGGCGAAGUUCUUUGUCGCCAUCGCCGAGAGAGAGAGAGAGAGAGAGAGAGUCGAGGAGCGGGGUUUGUUGAGUUUCGGGCUUAGGCCGAGGGAAAUAUCAUGGAUUUCGCUUUAAUCAAAUUCGUUU
rnacentral:lncRNA from 1 species